AGCAAACUCUUGUCACGGUAUAUUGCGUACAUCCUUCACUCUUUAUUACAAUGGAUAUUGUUCUGGUAGAUGCUGGGUUGUGAGUCAUAUUUAAAAGACUUUUUUUUUUUUAAGACAAGGUUGCUGGUAGUACCUCUGGUUUUGGCGCCGAGUAAUAUUAGAAUCUGACAAAAAGCAUUUCGAUAAGUAUAUCAAGAAGAUAUGUUUAUGAUCAACAUAUUAGCGGUGAUAUGUUAUGAAGAAAUAAUAUUAUAAAUAAAUGAUUUACGAAAAUGAGGUGAAGAAAAAAAUAUAAAUAUUUAGUUCAAAGAUUGAAAGGAUAAAAUUAAUGAUGACUUAAAGUCUGAGUAACAUAUACCUGUAGAUAUAAUAUAUAACAAAUAUACAAAUACAACUGAAGAAUAUCCUAAAAUAUACGUUGUAAGUUUUUAGUUGCCGAAAUCUGAAAACAGCUGUGUUGCUCUGUUCACUGAAUUAUCCGAGAUAUGACUAUAGAUUAGUAGUGCACAAUCAUAUCUGUUAUCAAGUAAUCAUUAUCAAGGUAUGAUUAGAGAGAGCUGUGAGUUGAGGGUAAUUCUAUAGCAAAACCGGGAGCCUAAAAAACAGAGGAUGAAAAAAAGGAUAUUUGAGGCUGGUACGAAUGAGAAAAGAAAAGAAGAUGAUAAUGAUCGCCCGGGGCCGCUUCCACUAAUAUAAUAAUUGAGAGUGCGUGAGUAUACAGUACAGUCUGUGGUGCCACCGAAGAGGAUGAGCAAAAGGCAAGUAGCCAAAGGUAGAGCACAAGGCCAACCUGCCCGGGGGCUUACUCCAAAUCUAAACGGCGGAACACUUGUAGUCCCGAGAGCCAACGGCUGAUAAUGUUCAUCAAAUGAGAGGUAGCCAACCUGUUGUAUUGUGCUGGCUCUUGUCUAAGGAGCCAGCUUACUCCACAGUCAACUGGAUAGAAAAAACCAGAGUUCAUCGUGCAGCUCUUGUGUUAUGUGCUCUUCUCUCUUUAACAGCCUCCGAGAUUGCCAGCCGUGAUCCUUGAUUAACGUUCGUUAAACCAUUUAAGAUACGCCAGACUCUUCUUAUACUCUUCCAGGCAUCAGCAUGCUAUACUCCUAUACGGAGGUCAACCAAACCUGAAUCCUCCAACCGAUAUACGCCGAUACACCCGGUACCCGGUACCCGGUACCCAGUACCCGCACGAGAGCGCCCCUGGCAUCAUUCUAAUCCACGGCUUUGCUUUGCCUCACGCGUUACUGCCUUAAGACUCUUUAUUCAUUUAAACUAGUUCCAGGAAAUGGAUGUCAAGAUAGUCAAUAGGGUUCAUAGGAUUUAGUGGAAUGUGAAGAUGAUACGAGGUACGAAACAGUACGGUACAUUCACCAAUGACCGAGUGGCACGGAUCCUGGUGAUUAUUAUAACCCUUGGUAUCUCUCUUCCAACAGAAACUUAUACUGUGUGCAUCAACAUCAACAAUGAGAAAUAAAUAACAAUAAUAACAGCAAUAAAUAGAUAUAAGAUGAGUAAUAUAAUUGGAGUUACGCGGCGUGUCGCCGUGGUAAGACCAUCGCCGCUGACCUCUGACAUUCUUCAAUGAUUCGGGCCUUUGAGGUCGCAGACCAUCUCAGACUCUCACUUAUUUUGCCAACCCAUUUAUUAUUAUCUUUAUAAAUUCCCCCACUCUCUACCUGCAAACGCAUCCUAUUUCUUCAUUUAAUUUUAAUGUUAUAAUUUAUAAUUAAAUGAAGAAAUAAAUUUUGGAAAAAUU